rnacentral:lncRNA from 1 species
AAAUAUUUGUGGUUUUUAUAUAAACAUGUAUAUACCGGCUUAUCCAGCACGUUGAAUAUAUUAAUCGACAAAACUGUGUCAUUGUGUAUCCUUAAAUGCUUUAAACGUAUAUAUAUUAAAAGACAAUAGCAAUCAAAACCAAGGAGUAAACAAAGACCCACAAAACCUAAGGACAUUUACAUCAACAGUUAUAAAUAAUAAUUAAGAAACAA